CCUAUAAGCGACGACAUCUUGUGCAACUUGUGAGCCGUUCUUAGGUCUGGGUCUUGCUGUGCUCUUUUUGCGAAGGCCACCUGGAGUAACAAAGAAAAGAAUAACUGAAUUAUUAAUCAUUCAUUUAGAUCCCUGAUAAAAAAAGAAAAGAAAAGAAACAUGAACCCAAUUCAUGAACACGAGACCAGAUCACUGCAGGUUGAUCCAAUCCAAGUAAAUGCUAACUAGAAUGCUUACAUUGCUAAUAGAAAACAGAUGAAAUCAGUUCAGUUAGUGACGAAUUAAAGUCUUCUUUUGUUCUCUGGGUGGAGAAUGUUAAUUCAAUUCAGGCAACCUACAGAAACCAAUGACUUCAAUGCCUCUUCCCUUCCCUUUUUCCUCCAAAAAAUGCAAUGGUCUAGAUCUAGAUCUUUGCAGUAAGUGGCCUGAAAUUGAAAUUGCCAAAAGAAUGGCGACUUCUAAAGUUUGCCACAAAAAGAAAAGAUAAUUUAGGACACGGCUAUAGGAUAAGAAAUUGCCAUUUUUUUUUUUUUGCUUGGAUAAGAAAGUACACAUAGGUUCUAGGAAGCUGUAGGCAAAAUUGCAGCCAAGAAUUAAAACCGUGUUACAUUGCCUGUACGUGGAAACAUUUUCUUUGAGUGAUAACAGUUUUGUCAUUUUAAUGUCUUCGAUUAUUCCGUGCAUCAACCAUAUUCGGGCAAAGGGGCAAAGUAGCAUUUUCCCAAGGAUUAUAUACAUCAGUCAAUGUCACAGGAAAAGAUGCAGCAAGUUGAUUCAAUCAAAAGCACCUCAACGUGCCUAUAUGAUAACCAUUUAGAAUUGCACAAAGAUGCAAUUGAAAGAACAGCUCAGUGUCAGUUUCCCGCACCCAGAUGUACAGUCAGAAUCCUAACAGUGCAAGUGUGGUGCCUCUAGUCAUUUUGCCCACGUGGAGGAACAUCUCCAUUAAAAAGUCCCAAAUCUUCCAUUUUUAGUUCGUUCUUGUCCCAGCUCUGACCCACUCUGGGCUCCAUAGAUGAGGAGUCCACGUAAAAGAAGUUUUCGUGGUCCUCACAUAACCAACUGAUGGAGGACUGAGGGCAAAGAUGAGAAACAAAAUUGUCCACGAUUCACUUUUACAAAAAUGUUAGAUGAUAAGACAAGAAUUCUGUGAGUUAUUAAUUUCACGAACUUACACUUUUAAAAGGGUGAGUAAUGAGGCAAAAUAUCUCUGAUAAUUCAUGCCUACAGUAGUCCCUACAGAAAUAGAAGUGUCAAAACCCAUAGCUAUUCCUGUAAGUGCUCGCAGCCGUUGGUAAUCCUUUGCGGCAACCAUCGACGGCUGGAGUUGUUGGACUAAUACUAAUAGUAGCUGCUCUCGAGGAGGAGAAAAUAGAUAUUAAACAAAGAAAUAUAGGUCACAACUUUGGAGAUACAGCAGUAAACAUCAAGAGGAAACAUUACAAAUAAGGAAUUCAUUGCUCCGGUGAGAAAUGUUAAAUGCUUAUUAUAAGAGGAUAAGGGGAAAUCAAUUAUAACUCGGUACAUUUACCUCCAUCAUCCCAGUGUGAACAGCUGAAACCAUGAAAGGCCGAACAGGUACUGACUGAACCCCCGGUUCAAAGCAAGCAGGGGAACUAGAUAUCUAGUAUUUGCAAGCCAUACUAUCAUGUUCAAGCACAAGAGAUAUGAAGCUUAAGAGAAUGUGGCAAGGAAGGAGACAUGGCUAGAAAACCAGCUGAUGUGCCAACGGGAAACCUUGUCAUAGGAUUUGUAUCAAAGAUUCAAAUGGAAAAUCUGGGAAGCGGCAAAGGGGUGCACAUAUCUCAUUUCUACUCAAGUUAUACUAGGUGACUGAAAAUGGCCCUAAUCAAUCCACGAAAGAAGAUAUGGGAGAGUUUAUGCAAUUCUUGAAUUCCACACAAUACCAAUAAUUGCUGAAUGUGUUGAGCUCCC